rnacentral:misc_RNA from 1 species
ACUCUAAAGAAAUCAGAUAAGUUAGCAAUUUUUAUUCCUUGCCAAUGUCAAUUUGUUCAAAGUUCAAUCUUUUGUUGCUGGUAUUUUUAACGAGAUUAAUAAUUAUUAUAAUACUAUUUUGAAGAUAUUUUUAACAAAAUUAACGUUCACUUCCAUCAAGAUUGAAAUAUGAUUAUAUUUUUUAUUCUUCAUUUUCUGAAUUACCCGAAAACGUAAAUCAAUUUUUUGACCAAUCACCUGCUCCUAACUGCCAAAAUCGCUCUGACGCCAAAGAAUCGGACUUUCUGCUUCUGUGGUCCAUGUACCAGGAAACAAACAUCAAACAGCAUAAAAAAAGCAUCAUCGGAGGCUGUUGUACUGGAAAGGCUUUGGAGCAGGAAGAUAAAAUAACUUCUAGACAAGAUGCACCCUACCAAGCUGGCUAUAAAUCACUGGCUCUCGAGCCACAGUUAAAAAUAGUCCUCGAGACAAGACAAAAGACGAUGUUUUGCUUGUAGUAUAGAGGUUUGUAGUACUUUGCUUUUCAAAGUGUAUCAGGCAGGCAAGACGUUAAAUAUGUAAAACACAGUAUAAAAAUAAUUUGAUGCUAGUUUGUUCCUACAAAGAGUAGUUUGUAAAAUAAAUUAGAAGACAGUUAGAUUUAAUUCUCGUACGAAUUUUAAACAUAUUCUUCAAAUUGUUAAAAAUGUAAAUUAAUAAAACGUAG